UAUUAGGUUGUGUAGUCCGUAAUUAGAUGUGCUAGGUAAGUAUCUUUCUUAUAGUGCAUGUUCAAUAUAUUAACUGAUUUGAGUUUACUUCUUGUUGAUUGAACAUCUCACCUCAAUCUUAG
rnacentral:miRNA from 1 species